AUACGUAGGGUGCGAGCGUUGUCCGGAAUUACUGGGCGUAAAGAGCUCGUAGGUGGUUUGUCGCGUCGUCUGUGAAAUUCCGGGGCUUAACUCCGGGCGUGCAGGCGAUACGGGCAUAACUUGAGUACUGUAGGGGAGACUGGAAUUCCUGGUGUAGCGGUGAAAUGCGCAGAUAUCAGGAGGAACACCGGUGGCGAAGGGGGGUCUCUGGGCAGUAACUGACGCUGAGGAGCGAAAGCAUGGGUAGCGAACAGGGUUAGAUACCCUGGUAGUCCAUGCCGUAAACGGUGGGCGCUAGGUGUAGGGGUCUUCCACGACUUCUGUGCCGUAGCUAACGCAUUAAGCGCCCCGCCUGGGGAGUACGGCCGCAAGGCUAAAACUCAAAGGAAUUGACGGGG
rnacentral:rRNA from 1 species